rnacentral:lncRNA from 1 species
UUUCAAAUUUGUAAAUUUCUUAGAAUUGAACUAACUCGAGCACUUCAUUCUGUAGGUAGGGCUCACUGCCCUUCUGGGCAGUGAGCCGGUGGGAU